CCUCCUGGAUCAGGUGCUCUGAGUGGGGCCCUGGGCAUCUGCAUUUUGAACUAUCUCCUUUGACGAGCUGGGAGACUGAGAGUUUCGGAGUGAAGUGGAGACCCUAUGAGUCAGGACCGCAAGGCCCAGAUGAGCAUCUGUGUGUUCCCUUCCUCAGUGGUGUGGCCUCGGGAUGAAGUUCAAAGUCAUGACCCUACCUCCCGACCUUGACGACCUCCCCUUGGACCCACGUGUCUCUGAACUUAUUUCUCUGACCUUUGUGCCCUUCUCGAUGUGCCUGGAAAACCACCCUCUCCCUUGCGCACCACCGCAGGGCAAGCCUCGUCAUCCUCCAGGUCUCAGUGUGAACGCCACUUCUGUGAUCCCCAUUGGAUGAUGUUGGGGGCCUCAACUCCCCAAGCCCUCUUCCCUCAGUGUAAUACAAUUC